GACGAACCGUGCGAACGUUAUUCGGAAUCACUGGGCUUAAAGCGCGUGUAGGCGGGCCGCCACGUCGAGAGCUGAAAUCCCCCGGCUCAACCGGGGAACGGGCCUCGAUACGAGCGGCCUGGAGGGAGGUAGGGGGGGCUGGAACUUCCGGUGGAGCGGUGAAAUGCGUUGAGAUCGGAAGGAACACCUGUGGCGAAAGCGGCUCACUGGACCACAACUGACGCUGAGGCGCGAAAGCUAGGGGGAGCAAACAGGGAUU
rnacentral:rRNA from 1 species